AGCCUUGUAGUAUAAAUAAGUACCUUUGACUUCCAAUCAAAAAGUUUUAACUAGGCCC
rnacentral:tRNA from 1 species